UACGUAGGGUGCGAGCGUUGUCCGGAAUUAUUGGGCGUAAAGAGCUUGUAGGCGGUUUGUUGCGUCGGCUGUGAAAUCCCGAGGCUCAACCUCGGGUCUGCAGUCGAUACGAGCAAACUAGAGUGUUGCAGGGGAGACUGGAAUUCCUGGUGUAGCGGUGAAAUGCGCAGAUAUCAGGAGGAACACCGGUGGCGAAGGCGGGUCUCUGGGCAACAACUGACGCUGGAGGAGCGAAAGCGUGGGGAGCGAACAGG
rnacentral:rRNA from 1 species